AAAAAAAGAUAUCAAAGUGAAGAUAUAUUGAAAGAACAAAAAAAUCACAAGAGUGUUGAUCAUAUUAAAACUAUCUUUACCUUCUACGAAAUAGCCAUGUGACAGUCUUGCACACGUUUGGCAUGUUCUAAGCCAGCUACACAAGGUAACCCACCUAUAGUGUGUUUGCAGCAGUCAACACUCUUUCAGAUAUUACAAUUCUAUUACAAUUCAUUGUAAUUCGAUUACAAUGACAACGACUUUGGUUAUAAUAAUUUCAGACAUUCGGGUAUCUACUUGUACCACUAAUAUUUAAUAACUAUUUAACCAACUUUUAUACUUAUAUUUAGACGCACAUUUAAACCUAAGCCUUUAAUAUACAAUGUUGUCUCAUUCUAAACAUACAUUCAGUUAGCUGUGUCCAAACCUUUAACUGACACUGUAUACCUGUUUGUAUGUUGUCAAGAAGGUGUUGAAGACUGGGCAGUGGCUAUUGAAACAUGGCAUGUGACCUCUUUCACUACAGGGCUUGCACAACUUGCACAGCAUACAAUACCAGUUGCUGUUUUUAUGACUUAUAGCAACUUGAUCAUCUCUGAGCAAUCUGAGGUUGUUAUAUGGCUUUGGAGCCUUAGGUUACCAACUUUUCAGAUCGCUUUCCUCUUUAGGGUCCUUCACACUGCAACUGCACUCACUGUAUCAUGCAUCUAAAUUGAUCUCCUCAUCCCCUGUGCUUUUGUUCCAUUCUUAUCAAUCAUUCCCCUAGAGACACAGCUGGGAUUUCAUUUGUAGGUUUGAUGUACAGUCUUGGCUGAAAGAAUCACUUACAACCAGAGCAUAGUUGCCUCAAACACAUAAAGCAGUUGGGUUUGACCAAGAAAUGUUUCUGAUGUGACCUUUUAGAGGGUCAGGACACUACAACUUGUUAAGGAUCUGACAUCCUCCACUAUAGGAGUGCUUUUCACUCUGUGCUUAAAGACGUCAUAUUCUUUCAUCGUCAAACUGUGUUUUGUUACAUGUUCAUGCUGUGGUUUAUUCUCCUCGGCUUGGUAGCUGGUAUUUUAACAGAUCAUUCUGUCGACAAUAGAUCUGCUAAAAAGACAAAACCAUUCUGAAUUACUAACAAAGGAAAAAAAAGGGUUAAAGCUAAAAAAACCAAUGAGAUAUGUUCAAAUGCACCACAUCAAAACCUGUACAUAUCUCCAAUAUCUAUUCAAAUUGAGCUUAUUUUUUCCUUUGGGUUUCCUCAUGAACACAUCCUCUUUAACUGUAAUCAGUUAAUGCUUGAGGGUAAUGAGCAGGCCUCUUAUAUGUUGUCUGCGUAGUAAAGCCUAGCUCUUCCCAAGUGGGUGGUUCUCCGCUGUGAGUAGGAGCUCUCCACUGGAAUGCCAUCUCCUGUUUGCAGUGUAAGUAAGCAGACCAGUCUGCUUUAAUUACUUUGCAUUGUUUAUGUCACCUUGCAGGAUUCUUUUGCUGAGUGACUUCUGCAUGUACUUGGUGCCUAGCAACACAAGACAUUCCAGCUAGCUACCACAACCACUUUCUCAUGGCUUCACUUUCUCACAUUGUCCAUCAAACUUUGUCGCUCUCUGUCUUUGUAUCUCUCUGUCUCUCAUUAGCUGCUCUGCCGAUGAUUGGUCAAAUGGCUCUGAUUUGUCUCAGCUUAGGGUGGCUUUCAUUCCAGAGGUAAGGCUAAACACGAGUUAACAGUAAGAAGUGUGCUCUGGCCAAACACCUUUUAACAGCUGCCACUGGCCUAAAAGCAAAUGCAAAUAUAUUGGCUAGGCCCAUGCUGGGAUGUAUUACUGAGGGGUCAUAUAUUCGUUAGGCCUAUGCUGGGGUGUAUUUCUGAGGGGUCUUAUAUCCGUUAGGCCUAUGCUGGGGUGUAUUUCUGAGGAGUCUUAUAUCUGCUAGGCCAGUGCUAGGGUGUAUUUCUGAGUGGUCAUAUAUCCGUUAGGCCUAUGCUGGGGUGUAUUUCUGAGGGGUCUUAUAACCGCUAGGCCUAUGCUGGGGUGUAUUUCUGAGGGGGGUCUUAUAUCCAUUAGGCCUAUGCUGGGGUGUAUUUCUGAGGGGUCUUAUAUCCGUUAGGCCUAUGCUGGGGUGUAUUUCUGAGGGGUCUUAUAUCUGCUAGGCCCAUGCUGGGGUGUAUUUCUGAGUGGUCAUAUAUCCGUUAGGCCUAUGCUGGGGUGUGCUUCUGUGCCGGCUUCUUCCUUCACCCUUAGAGGCACCGAGUGGAGUGUAAUCCACGGUAACAUGGAAGCAGGAGAUUCUGGCCUGGAAGCAAACCAAUUCGACCAAAGCAAUUCCCUCUCGCAACGGAUUUGAUUUGGCUUGCCUCCAACUCUAACCAAUUCCACAGAACCAAAAAGAAGAUAAACAAGUACUUUCUGGCCUUGAUAUUAAAUAAAAUAUCAAGUUACAUGGGAUUUUGGGGGUGGGAUCAACAGCUGUAUAUUUUGCUGCAUAAGUUUCAAAAAUGACUAUGAAUGUAUAUGUUCCAAAUCUAUGCUGUUUGAGUGGUCUGCCUGCAAAUCCUUGACUAGAUCAGUUUUUUGCAACAUAUUCCAGUCAUAUUUGAUUUGGAUAUCAAGGCCACUGCUAGAGAAACCUACUAGCAGUUUGCAAAGUUCUUAGCAGCCUGUUUCAGACCUCAUUGCAUUUCUGAUAUCUACUUUAACUAAUACCUUGACCAGGCGUCUUGAGAACUCAAGUUGAUAGUAAAUUUUUGCAAAAGUUGAAUCAGGACUGUCAAGUUUGAUGGACAUCAUGUUGAUUCAGUGACACUGACAAAGCUCCAUUUGACCCACGAUUGACACAGAAAGGCUUUCUCUAUUCUGUAAUGAAAUAGAGUGCUAUGGCUGCAGAGCAGAGCAUAUGUCACUCCCUUCCAAACCUUCUGAGAAGGACGACCCACGAUUACCAGAGAUCAAUACCCUGCACAGCCCUGUACAGCAUUCUGAAGGCCAAGCGGGCAGAGGGCAGCUCUUCCCACACAGCAACUCUUUUCUUAGGACUCCCGGAGACAGUGGCGCACUUGCAGAUAUGAACACACGAGAGCAAAAUAAAAGAAACGAUCUCAGGCUCGGCCAUCAAGCCCACGUCACAGUGUGAGGAUCGUCUUGUUUGUGCUGCCCUGAUGGUCUCAUUGUUGACUCUCACUUGAUUCACGAAGUUUUUCUCGAGUUGGUUUUGAACACAAUACAAUGUUCUCUUUCUGUAAACUGUGCUAAAUGGUGGAAUUUAGGUUGGAUUGUAUCUGUAAAACAAUGUCUCUGAUUAUGUUUGAGUUGUUUUACUUAAAAAUGAAUGUGCCUAGUUACAACUAUAUUUGACUAUGUGUUAAAGCAUGUAAAUUCAUAAUUAAAUCACAAAGAGAUUAUGAAGUGA